GCGAAUGCCUGGCCAGGAGGUGCGGUAAGACGGAGGUUGCAAGAAUGAAGCGGAUGUAUGGGGCGUAAAGGGCGCGUAGGCGGAUAAGUAAGUAAGAUGUGAAAUUCCGGGACUCAAUUUCGGAGCUGCAUUUGAAACUACAUAGCUCGAGGAUUGGCGGAGAGAACGGAAGUCCACGUGUAGCGGUGAAAUGCGUAGAUAUGUGGAAGAACACCGGUGGCGAAAGCGGUUCUCUAGCUUAUACCUGACGCUGAGGCGCGAGAGCAAGGGGAUCAAACAGGAUUAGAUACCCGAGUAGUC
rnacentral:rRNA from 1 species